rnacentral:rRNA from 1 species
AUUGAACGCUGGCGGCAUGCUUUACACAUGCAAGUCGAACGGUAACAGGCCGCAAGGUGCUGACGAGUGGCGAACGGGUGAGUAAUGCAUCGGAACGUGCCCAGUCGUGGGGGAUAACGCAGCGAAAGCUGUGCUAAUACCGCAUACGAUCUAUGGAUGAAAGCGGGGGACCGUAAGGCCUCGCCCGAUCGGAUCGGCCGAUGUCAGAUUAGGUAGUUGGUGGGGUAAAGGCCUACCAAGCCGACGAUCUGUAGCUGGUCUGGGAGGAGGAACAUCAACACGGGGACUGAGACACGGACGAGACUCCGACGUGAGUCAGCAGUGGGGAAGUUGGGACAAUGGGCGCACGCCUGAUCCAGCAAUGCCGCGUGCAGGAAGAAGGCCUUCGGGUUGUAAACUGCUUUUGUACGGAACGAAACGGUCUGGGUUAAUACCCUGAGCUAAUGACGGUACCGUAAGAAUAAGCACCGGCUAACUACGUGCCAGCCGCCGCCGUAACAC